rnacentral:ncRNA from 1 species
ACACACAUGCACGGGAGCUUGGGGAACCAGGCUGAGAGGAUGGCUGAUCCGCCGUCGACCGUUGAACCUGAACUGGGUAAUGCCAGCGGAGGAAUGUUCUUGACACCGAGA